rnacentral:rRNA from 1 species
GUAGGAGGCGAGCGUUAUCCGGAUUUACUGGGGGGCGUAAAGCGCGUGUAGGGCGGGUUUCUUAAGUCGGGACGUGAAAGCUCUCGGCUCAACUGGGAGAGGUCGUUCGAAACUAGGGAACUUGAGGGUGGUAGAGGAGAGUGGAAUUCCCGGUGUAGUGGUGAAAUGCGUAGAUAUCGGGAGGAACACCAGUGGCGAAGGCGGCUCUCUAGGCCACUCCUGACGCUAAGACGCGAAAGCUAGGGGAGAGAACGGGAUUAGAAACCCCGGUACUCCUAGCUGUAAACGAUGUCAACUAGGUGUAGGGGGUAUCCAACCCCCCUGUGCUGUAGCUAACGCAUUAAGUUGACCGCCUGGGGACUACGGCCGCAAGGCUA